AGUCAUAUGCUUGUCUCAAAGAUUAAGCCAUGCAUGUCUAAGUAUAAACCACUUUAUACGGUGAAACUGCGAAUGGCUCAUUAUAUCAGUUAUAGUUUAUUUGAUCGUACCUUACUACAUGGAUAACCGUAGUAAUUCUAGAGCUAAUACAUGCAAGCAAACCCGACUUCUGGAAGGGUUGUAUUUAUUAGAUACAAAACCAAUGCGGGGGCAACCUCGGUGGUUGGUGAUUCAUAAUAACUGGUCGAAUCGCAUGGCCUUGUGCUGGCGAUGGUUCAUUCAAAUUUCUGCCCUAUCAGCUUUCGAUGGUAGGAUAGAGGCCUACCAUGGCGGUAACGGG
rnacentral:rRNA from 1 species